rnacentral:rRNA from 1 species
UACGGAGGGGGCGAGCGUUAUUCGGAAUUAUUGGGCGUAAAGGGCGCGUAGGCGGCUGUACAAGUCAAAGGUGAAAUCCCUCGGCUCAACUGAGGAACUGCCUUUGAAACUGUACGGCUUGAGGCCGGGAGGGGGUAGCGGAAUUCCCAGUGUAGCGGUGAAAUGCGUAGAUACUGGGAGGAACACCAGUGGCGAAGGCGGCUACCUGGACCGGUUCUGACGCUGAGGCGCUAAAGCGUGGGUAGCAAACAGG